rnacentral:lncRNA from 1 species
ACUGGUGGUACUGAGAAAAGCAAUUGAAACAUUUACCGUUAACAAAACCUGAAAAUUUUAUUGCUCACUCUGUCAGCCUCGCUCUGUGGUUAUUGGCUUCACUAAACUAACUUUGAAUGUUCUGUCCCUAUCCUCCACCAAUGGCGGGGUCUAACUAUCGAUGAGCCCCUCUCACUGGCUUCCCCCUCUUGACCUUGGUGAGCGCAGUGGUCAGCAGCAAUGGGAGGCCACUCCAUGAGGCUUGGUCGGUGGCUGGUGUCUAGAAAAGACACCCUUCUUCCACGGCGUGAUGUGAUGUCCGUUGAGCAUUUCGGUCGAGAUUGGGCAGCGGCGCACCUGCAAUUGAAAGAUGUUCAACCAAUUUCUCUUUCCCCUUCUAAGCAACAGUACACCUUUGCUUGAAAAACUCUCUGCGACUUCAAUUUUUGGUUCCGCUUCUGCGCCUAGAAACUCUUGCCUAGGAUCUUUUGUAUUGGACUAGGUUGAUUUCCUCUAGAGCUGAUCUUGUAGAAGUUGAUCUAGGUACAUGUUCGAGAUUUACGUUGGCCUAGGAUGGAGUGGUCGAAUCAAGUCGAACCUGAGCUGGCACAGCAACUGCCGCCUCACCCGCACAACUGACCUUGGCGCAUGGUGACAUCGGAUUCUUCCGCCUAGUAAAGAUGUUGACGGCAACCGGAGAGAAGCAAGGGGGUCGACGGGAGAGGCCUGCUGAUGUCUAGGUUAUUAGGAGAUGCUUGACUUGAUCUGUGGGUGGGGCUUGGUGGAUUGUGGCUGGGAUUGUGGGAGGGGAGGAGGGGUCACGGGGUGAUUCGGUGGGAUUUUGAUUUGCGAUGGGGCAGAAGAGUUGCACGAGUGAUCUGCCAUUCUAGAUCCGCCUUCGAAUCGAU